GACGGAGGAUGCAAGCGUUAUCCGGAAUGAUUGGGCGUAAAGCGUCUGUAGGUGGCUUUUUAAGUCUGCCGUCAAAUCCCAGGGCUUAACCCUGGACAGGCGGUGGAAACUACCAAGCUGGAGUACGGUAGGGGCAGAGGGAAUUUCCGGUGGAGCGGUGAAAUGCGCAGAUAUCAGGAGGAACACCGGUGGCGAAGGCGGUUCUCUGGGAAUGUCCUGACGCUGAGGAGCGAAAGUGUGGGGAGCGAACAGG
rnacentral:rRNA from 1 species